AUAUGCCGCUUGGUGCGCACCAGACGUAGAGCGGCGGUCUCCAAGACCGCAGGUCGUUGGUUCGAAGCCAACCGCGUAUGCCA
rnacentral:tRNA from 1 species